GACAAGUACAACAUACGCAGAUUGAUCAGUAAACAGGUGACGAUCUAAAUAAAUUUGCUAAUUUGAAAUUUAUGCUGGAACUAAAAAAUAUAGGAAAGUUUUAAUUGCAUUCCUAUUUUCCAUAUCUCUUGUUGGAUUUGAGUUAUUUUGAUGGAUCGAAUAUAAAAAAAAUAAAUGUCGGGUUUCGUAAUUUUUAUCAUUGUUUAACAAAAUACUUAAUUGUUAAACAAGUAAUGAUUUAACUGCUAGGCCAUAAUUUGACUGUAACUUAUACAUAUUCACAUAUUGCUAAUCCAUUAAUAUUUCGAGUGGGACAAUUAUCAAAAUAAUGGCAGCCAACUUAAUCAAACCUUCGGACGGUGUUUUACAAGCCAAAUUCAACACGGGCUCAGAUGAUUGGUCGGCUAUUUUGCCUUGCGUUGAUCGUCAAAAGUACACCAUUGGCGAUAAGUACACCUCGUGGGACACACAGGGCAAUUUUAUCUUUUUCAGACCUGAGGGCCCCGAGUGGAACUGGAAGUUCGGUCUGGAAAUCUUAUGUGACGAUGGCUUUUACUCGGUCAAACCUGCCACGGGGGGCGGAAUUUUUUAAACGGCGCAAAGCUGAAUCGCGAAGUCGGGCUAAAUUUUGGCGAUAUAUUCACCGUCACGAAGCUCCGCAACGAUAUUUCUGGUGGACUUGCAAACUUCACGUUUGAGAAACGGAGCUACAUUGAAAAUUGGGAUGACUGCAAGAACAUUUCUGACUCGGAAAACACGACUGGAUCAAAUUUUAUACUAGAUCGAAAUCAAUUGGUUUUCUCGAUCAUUCUGUCCCGUCUCUCCUUGCACCUUGGGAAGCUUGAAGAACGCCCGACUAGUUUGUCGCCACUGGAAUGAAGAAGUGACUCCCAUUCUGCGAAAGAAAUACGCCAUAAAGUUCAGUUAUUCCUCCGACGUUUACAACCCUUCGCUGAAAUUUUUUCGAUAUAUUCAUGAAAUGCGAGAUGCUGAAAACUGGCCACACUUGAAGAUAAGCUUUCCAUUCCUAAGAUUCCUAGAGGAUGGCCAGGAAAAUUGGAAGGCUAAGUAUGCCGCUGACCUGAAGUGGUUUCUUAAGCAGAAAAGGGGACAUUACGUCAAGACUUUGGCGCUGAACGGGUACAUCCACUCUGACCAGGAUUACCUGAUGUAUCUCGACACCGUUUCCGAAUUUAAAGACACCUUGGAAGAAUUGUAUCUCAGCUAGGCUUGACCAUAAAAACUGUCGACCAUAAUGGCCCCGAGCAGCAAUAUUCACAGCGGGACCUAUUUUUCCCCGUACUAAAGAAGUUUUCUCUACGAAUUUUUAAUCAUAUGAACGAACCAAUUGUCCCAGUGACUACAAGCUGGAUGAAAACUUGGGCCGACGCAAUUACACGGGUGAAAUCGAUCUCCACGCUGGGCCAUGGAUUCCUGGGGUCAAGAAUUGCCGUGGCGAUGCAAACAACGGGAACUUUGGGGUAUGGAAACUUGCGUCAAAUCAUGCUAACUUGCAAGCCAACGGAUGGCAUCAAUUUUCUCAUGGGGAUGAACCCACAACUGAAGAGUUUGACGUUGACGUUACCUCUGGAACCCCAGCAUCUUCCCGAGUUUGAGAAUCUGCUUAAGAAAUUCGCCCCGUCCUUGAAUUUACUUCGCUUUCGUGUUGACACGAAUGGACUUGAAGAGAAGUCGCGUUUCGUCCUGAAUCUGCCAUGUUUUCCUAAACUGAUAAAUAAAUUUAAAAAAAUAAAACUAAGGCGAGAGGCGCUAUUACAAACACGAAACAAGCCCUCCCACCAACACCCCCGUCUCGCCGUGGCCCCAUUUAUAUUUUUAUAUCUGGGGGGUGUAACCACAAUUUUAUUUUUUGUAAUUCUUUCCUGCAUCAUACAAAACGAUUUAUAAAACCACCUAUAAUAGGGUAUAUAUGCCACCAUGGGUGCAUGCAUUUUCGUGAUGGUGUCAUAAAAUUGUCACACAAAUGUCGGAAAUCAAACUUCAAAAUCUGCUAGCUCAAUUCUGAAAUUUCUGAAUGCAGAAUGUAUUUAAUCACAUAAUUGCCUACGUUAAAAGUUGAUUUUAAGAAGUAAAUAUUUCAUUUUUCUACGACGGUUGAUGAACCAGGUAUAUUCCAAACUUUUCAGCUACAAUACGGAUAGAUUUGAAACUUUAGGAUCUUGGUUAAGGCAUAGGUUUUCUUUAAUCAAACAUCUUUAAUUAAAAAAUAUUUUUAUACAUAUUUUAUCAAACAUUUUACAUAAGUGUUUCGGGGUUUUUAAGAAUAUAUUUAUCAGGACUCUAAUGCUAGACAUGUUUAAAUUGAAAUUAAUGUAACUGUAAUGUAAAUGUAAUGUAUUAAGAACUGCAGAUAAUAGGCUUUAAAAGUGCAAUGCAAUAUAAAAUUGUAAUAUUUAUCAACUUAAAUACAGUUUACAUUUGUAGUUAAAAGUUUGAAUCAUAAAUUGUGGUUACACCCCCCAGAUAUAAAAAUAUUAAUGGGGCCACGGCGAGACGGGGGUGUUGGUGGGAGGGCUUGUUUCGUGUUUGUAAUACCGCCUCUCGCCUUAGUUUUAUUUUUUUUAAUUUAUUUAGUUUGGAGUUUUUAAGUGAACAAUUUUUUUAACUCCCAUUAAAAACCCACAGUGCAUAGCCCGAGUAAGGAAAAGAUUGGGAUUAUCACCCAAUCCGACUUUUGUACAAAAUUUUAUCAUAAAUGCAUAUCAACAUUUUUAUAAUAAAAACCUACUUCAAGCAA